rnacentral:miRNA from 1 species
CAUAUUACCUCGUGGGAUUUC